rnacentral:rRNA from 1 species
CUCGUAGUUGGAUUCCUGGCCUGGGGUAGCCGGUCCGCCUUGCAAAAGGUGCGCACUGUGCGGCCUCGGCCAUCCUUGAGAAGAGCUGUUCUGGCAUUCAGUUGUCGGGGCGGGGAUUCUCGACGUUUACUGUGAAAAAAUCAGAGUGUUCAAAGCAGGCUUACGCCUUGAAUACAUUAGCAUGGAAUAAUGAGAUAGGACCUUGGCGGUCUAUUUUGUUGGUUUGCACGCCGAGGUAAUGAUUAAAAGGGACGGUUGGGGUUCUUCCUAUUCAAUUGUCGGAGGUGAAAUUCUUGGAUU